AUGGAUGUAGCUGUGUUUUUCUUAGUAAUAUUCCCAUUAGGGGCUUACUCUCAGACCUUACAGGAGUCAGGUCCAGGGAUUGUGAGACCUUCACAACAACUCAAAGUAACCUGCACAGUGUCUGGGUUUGAGUUAACCAGCUAUGGAGUACAUUGGGUCAGACAAUCCCCUGGACAAGGACUGGAAUGGAUUGGUGCUAUAUGGUAUAGCGGAGGCACAGCAAUUGCUGAUUCACUAAAAAGCAGAGUUUCUAUUACAAGAGAUGUUGCAAAGAAACAAGUGGAUCUGCAAAUGGACAGGAUGGAAGCAAGAGACACAGGAAUGUAUUACUGUGCGAGAGACACAGAAACAGAAAGCAGUGGAGCGUUCAUACAAUAUCCCAUCUCACGCUUGUGUGCAAGGAAACAAACCACAAGAGCACAGCUGGGUUUUCUGCUUCCAAACAUAAAGACAACAAUUUCAGACAGAAAAGAGCCCAGUCAUAACACCACCUGA